UGUGAACAUACCUACUGUUGCUUCGGCGGGAUUGCCCCGGGCGCCUCGUGUGCCCCGGAUCAGGCGCCCGCCUAGGAAACUUAACUCUUGUUUUAUUUUGGAAUCUUCUGAGUAGUUUUUACAAAUAAAUAAAAACUUUCAACAACGGAUCUCUUGGUUCUGGCAUCGAUGAAGAACGCAGCGAAAUGCGAUAAGUAAUGUGAAUUGCAGAAUUCAGUGAAUCAUCGAAUCUUUGAACGCACAUUGCGCCCGCCAGUAUUCUGGCGGGCAUGCCUGUCUGAGCGUCAUUUCAACCCUCAUGCCCCUAGGGCGUGGUGUUGGGGAUCGGCCAAAGCCCGCGAGGGACGGCCGGCCCCUAAAUCUAGUGGCGGACCCGUCGUGGCCUCCUCUGCGAAGUAGUGAUAUUCCGCAUCGGAGAGCGACGAGCCCCUGCCGUUAAACCCCCAACUUUCCAAGGUUGACCUCAGAUCAGGUAGGAAUACCCGCUGAACUUAAGCAUAUCAA
rnacentral:rRNA from 1 species